UUAAUCCUGUUUGGACUUCGGAGAUUCUGGAUAAUCUCUGUUUUACAGUACAAUUUCGUUAAAUAACAGGUAUGCGCUAAACAGCUAUUUAUUUCAGCGAGGCGCAUUGGAGUGCCAUGGUCUGUUCUUGUAUACUGAAGCCUACUAUACACUGUAUCGUUAUAAUGCCAAAAUAAAUGUGACGGCAUAUUUGCGAGACAAGUGGAUGAAUUCGAUUAAAACUAAGGUAUACUUAACGAGCGACACUGAAAAGACAAAAUAAGAAACGCAAGGUCUUUAAUUCACAUAGUCAUUAUUUUAACUAUAAGUGCUCUCCAGGCAUAGUAGUCCGCAUAUGUUACUAAUGUUAGCCAAGCUCCCCUCCCCCUACAAUUCCUAGCAAAUGGUACUAUCCAACACUUCAAACAAUGGAUAGUCUAAUCUCCUCUUGAUUAAGAUCCGAGUAUAGUGGGAUCAUAAAGGCAUCGUAAGAUACAAUACGCAGUUUUAUGAGGACAACGCUUGACUGAACUCAGGACUUUCGGAAGAUAACCGAGUAAUGCAGCAGUUCCUGUUCAAGCAGGAGACAGAAGCACUGGCGCCAAAAUAUGCUUCCACAGACGUGUGGGAGAUAUAUGUGCCAGGCAAUUUCACAGAGACAAGCGAGCAGAAGGACAACGGACAGCACGGAGUCAGACAUACGCAAACGGGCAAGUGGGAACUCAAUCUGUCAAAUCUUAAAGCACCCUAAAAUACAGUAAUAGUAAUAAUAAGAUAAUCAUCUAAAUGUAUUCAUCUAUCAAUAAAAACUAACUCAUCACAUUUUUCUGAUCUUUAUGCAUUCCAGAGUCCACAGCAGCCAUUAGUCCCGGAUUUCUUUGGCUAGGCUCCAAGUUCUCACAACUCUUACCAGCACAUGCAGUUAGAAGUUGCAUAGACGGAGGAAUAGAUAGAUAUACAGUUUGAAGUCACAUUAUGCAUGUUACAGUUAUGCUAGGGGCACAGUUAUAGCAUAUAAGGAUGAGUUUCAGCAGUGAUGGUGCUGGUAACUCAAAGCAGAGCUGUCACACAGUUGUGUCAUAAUAAAACUCUGCGUGAUGCAAGGAAUGGAGAACAGCACAAACCCCAAGGCGCUAAAGUGUCACUGGGCUGUAGGGUACCAUGUCCCUCAUUUUCCCCAGUGCCCCUGCGGAACAACAUGUCAAGAUGCCUCUCACAGGCCAAACCAAAGCAAAGCUCGCUCUGUCUUUGUAAAAGACUCGUUUGAGCCCCGGGUGGUGUGCAGACAGUACAUGAUUCCACGUUCACUGUCCUUCAGCCAGAAACCCUGCUUGUUUUCUCUGGUUAAGUGAGAAAGUAGAAUUCAAAUGUAGCUUUUUAUUUGUAUAAUUUACAUAUCUUUUGAUUGGCAGAUUAUUCUUUAUAUACCCUACAUUUUAUCACUUAAACAACGUCGAUCAUCUUUCUAUGGUUUUGCAGCUUAUAGCAGUGGGGUUUCUCCUAAAUGUAAACUUAGAUAUAAACGAAACAAAUUUUCGUUCACAGUGUUAGCAAAUCCAUGUAAAAAGUCUUCCUCUGAAUCGCAUCAGCAGCACCAAUUCCACUGGGUGUUUCUUUAGCCUCACCCCAGCAGUGAAAUGCUUAUAUUUCGUCGUUCAGGGGGACUCCACCCCCUGUCAUCUCCGUGCUCCCUCUUCUCUUCCCCUCUCCUCUCCAUGUGCUCUUAGCCGGGGUAGCUCCUGGCCCCAGUAAAUGGUGGACUUUGCCCCGUUUGAAUCUGCACAGACUGAGUGCCCCUAUCGACAGAUGGCCCUGCCAGAUAAUGACGCCCCGUACUGGUUGCCAUGGCAAGGGGACAGGAGAGAGGUUGAAAGGGGCCAGGCACUCAUUAGAGACACCGGCUGCCAUGAAUGGAGUAUCUGCACCAAUCAGAGUACCGGCUUUCCCCACACCUCCGGUCCCUUUUCAGCCGAAAGAGCCAGGCACCCCCUAGUAUUCCUCAUGCACACCAAAUGCUCGUUAACCUAUUAACUUUCAGUACAACCCUACCCUCCCUCCCCCAAAAAAAUCAUCCACUCUCCAAUGAAGGGGUUUCAAGCCAGCCCCCCAUCUCCCAACUCCCACAACAAUUCCCCUAGCAACUCUGCCUGCCCCAGCCUGCCCUGUCUGGAUUUUUGGAAACUGCACACUGGACAGAUGCAUUCUGGCCAUUUUCCUUUUUAAUUUGUCCUUUUUCCAGAAUUGAUUAAAGUCUUGCUGGCCCACUCUUCCCUUUACUCCAGUUUCACUAUGCAAUUUUCUUGUAAAACACUUUGAAAUCAUAAGGGAAGUCAGCAAUACUGUGUAGCUGUAUGCCUUUAUUAUUGCUAAUAAAAACAUUUAAAUGAAACCCA